AAUCAAUUAAGCGAUGAAGCUCGCUCGGAAAUAAUCAAACUGUCUUUAUGGCUGAUAGCUUCUGCCUUAAA
rnacentral:ncRNA from 1 species